AUAUUUCGGAACUGAGUCUAUUUCCUUCGAUAUCAAUGCAAUCUAAUAAUCACGAUUUUUAGAUUGCAUUGAUAUCGAAGGAACUAGACUCAGUUCCGAAAUAU